rnacentral:rRNA from 1 species
ACAGGGCAGGUAGUGACAAUAAAUAACAAUGCGGGGCUCUUUCGAGUCUUGCAAUUGGAAUGAGUACAAUUUAAAUCCCUUAACGAGGAUCAAUUGGAGGGCAAGUCUGGUGCCAGCAGCCGCGGUAAUUCCAGCUCCAAUAGCGUAUAUUAAAGUUGUUGCAGUUAAAAAGCUCGUAGUUGGAUUUCUGACGGGAGUACGGGUCGGCCUUAACGGGUUGCACUGUUGUUACGUCUCGUCGUUUCGAGGGGAAUGGGUUCGCUAUUAGGUUAGUGGGCUCGGGAACCUUGUCGUUUACUGUGAAAAAAUUAGAGUGUUCAAAGCAGGCCUUUGCUGUGAAUACAUUAGCAUGGAAUAAUAAGAUAGGACUGUAGUGCUAUUUUGUUGGUUUGCGUACUAUGGUAAUGAUUAAUAGGGAUAGUUGGGGGUAUUCAUAUUCAAUUGUCAGAGGUGAAAUUUCUUGGAUUUAUGGUAAUUUGAACUACUGCGAAAGCAUUUACCAAGGAUG